rnacentral:rRNA from 1 species
GACGAACGCUGGCGGCGUGCUUAACACAUGCAAGUCGAACGAAGAGCGAUGGAAGCUUGCUUCUAUCAAUCUUAGUGGCGAACGGGUGAGUAACGCGUAAUCAACCUGCCCUUCAGAGGGGGACAACAGUUGGAAACGACUGCUAAUACCGCAUACGAUCCAAUCUCGGCAUCGGGACUGGAUGAAAGGUGGCCUCUAUUUAUAAGCUAUCACUGAAGGAGGGGAUUGCGUCUGAUUAGCUAGUUGGAGGGGUAACGGCCCACCAAGGCGAUGAUCAGUAGCCGGUCUGAGAGGAUGAACGACCACAUUGGGACUGAGACACGGCCCAGACUCCUACGGGAGGCAGCAGUGGUGAAUCUUCCGCAAUGGACGAAAGUCUGACGGAGCAACGCCGCGUGAGUGAUGACGGCCUUCGGGUUGUAAAGCUCUGUUAAUCGGGACGAAUGGUUCUUGUGCGAAUAGUGCGAGGAUUUGACGGUACCGGAAGAGAAAGCCACGGCUAACUACGUG